rnacentral:rRNA from 1 species
AUUGAACGCUGGCGGCAGGCCUAACACAUGCAAGUCGAGCGGAUGAAGGGAGCUUGCUCCUGGAUUCAGCGGCGGACGGGUGUGUAAUGCCUAGGAAUCUGCCUGGUAGUGGGGUAUAACGUCCGGAAACGGGCGCUAAUACCGCAUACGUCCUGCGGGAGAAAGUUGGGGAUCUUCGGACCUCACGCUCUCAGAUGAGCCUAGGUCGGAUUAGCUAGUUGGUGGGGUAAAGGCCUACCAAGCCGACGAUCCGUAACUGGUCUGAGAGGAUGAUCAGUCACACUGGAACUGAGACACGGUCCAGACUCCUACGGGAGGCAGCAGUGGGGAAUAUUGGACAAUGGGCGAAAGCCUGAUCCAGCCAUGCCGCGUGUGUGAAGAAGGUCUUCGGAUUGUAAAGCACUUUAAGUGGGGAGGAAGGGCAGUAAGUUAAUACCUUGCGGUUUUGACGGUACCAACAGAAUAAGCACCGGCUAACUACGUG